GAUCCUGGCUCAGGACGAACGCUGGCGGCGUGCUUAACACAUGCAAGUCGAACGAGAAUCUGUGGAUCGAGGAUUCGUCCAAGUGAAGCAGAGGACAGUGGCGGACGGGUGAGUAACGCGUGAGGAACCUGCCUUUCAGAGGGGGACGAACAGUUGGAAACGAACUGCUAAUACCGCAUGAUACAUUUGGGUUGGGCAUCAUCUGAAUGUCAAAGAUUUAUUCGCUGAAAGAAUGG
rnacentral:rRNA from 1 species